GACGAACCGUGCGAACGUUGUUCGGAAUUACUGGGCGUAAAGGGCUCGUAGGCGGCCAACUAAGUCAGACGUGAAAUCCCCAGGCUCAACCUGGGAACUGCGCCUGAUACUGGAUGGCUUGAAUCCGGGAGAGGGAUGCAGAAUUCCAGGUGUAGCGGUGAAAUGCGUAGAUAUCUGGAGGAAUACCGGUGGCGAAGGCGGCAUCCUGGACCGGCAUUGACGCUGAGGAGCGAAAGCCAGGGGAGCAAACGGG
rnacentral:rRNA from 1 species